UACGAAGGGGGGCUAGCGUUGCUCGGAAUCACUGGGCGUAAAGCGCACGUAGGCGGGUCUUUAAGUCAGGGGUGAAAUCCUGGAGCUCAACUCCAGAACUGCCUUUGAUACUGAGGAUCUCGAGUCCGGGAGAGGUGAGUGGAACUCCGAGUGUAGAGGUGAAAUUCGUAGAUAUUCGGAAGAACACCAGUGGCGAAGGCGGCUCACUGGCCCGGUACUGACGCUGAGGUGCGAAAGCGUGGGGAGCAAACAGG
rnacentral:rRNA from 1 species